UUGACCUCAAAUCAGGUAGGACUACCCGCUGAACUUAAGCAUAUCAAUAAGCGGAGGAAAAGAAACUAACAAGGAUUCCCCUAGUAACUGCGAGUGAAGCGGGAAAAGCUCAAAUUUGAAAUCUGGCGGUUCCUUGGACUGUCCGAGUUGUAAUCUAGAGAAGUGUUACCUGUGCUGGACCGUGUACAAGUCUCCUGGAAUGGAGCAUCACAGAGGGUGAGAAUCCCGUCUUUGACACGGACUGCCUGUGCGAUAUGGUGCGCUCUCGAAGAGUCGAGUUGUUUGGGAAUGCAGCUCAAAAUGGGUGGUAAAUGCCAUCUAAAGCUAAAUAUUGGCGAGAGACCGAUAGCGAACAAGUACCGUGAGGGAAAGAUGAAAAGAACUUUGGAAAGAGAGUUAAACAGUACGUGAAAUUGCUGAAAGGGAAACGCUUGAAGUCAGUCGCGUCGGCUAGAAAUCAGUCUUGCUUCUGCUUGAUGUACUUUCUGGUCUGACGGGUCAGCAUCAAUUUUGACCGCCGGAUAAAGUCAUCGGGGGUUUAAUCAUCCCGUGUUGCAUACGGUGGUUGGGAUUGAGGAACUCAGCACGCCGCGAGGCCGGGUCCUUUGGACCACAUUCGUGCUCAGGAUGCUGGCAUAAUGGCUUUAAUCGACCCGUC
rnacentral:rRNA from 1 species